CUUUGGGCACGCGUGCACAACCCUCGGAAGGGACCACCGGGAUCUUUAAGAACCCGAGGGGAUGGUGUUUGCCUCCUGAAGCAAUGCAGCAUCCACCUCGAGGAAGCAGAACACGCACAGGCAGGGGACCUGAUCAGAGAAGGAUAAAGUUUGAUUUUCCUCCCUGCGUGUUCCUAGGGGGCCGGGAGAGGGCGAGGCAGCAGCCUCCUGGGGUCCCGGGGUGCUCUCCGGGGACAGUUCCCAGCAGCAUGGCACUGCCACUCUCCUGACACACCGGCAACCGCGGCAACUCCGGACGCUCCAACCCGCCCAGAGGAGUACUUCGGAUUUUUGUUGAGAUUAAGUCAUACUACAUCCUGAGGCUAGCCUUGAACUUAUGAUCGUCCUGCCUCAGCCUCCUGAGUGCUAUGAUCACAAGCAUGAACCAUCAUGCCUGGCUUGGACUGACCUCACUCAACUUUCUCUUGAAAACACGACUUGCCACAGGACAAGGUUUCUCAACCGAUGGGUCGCGACCCUUUGCGUCAAAAGUUUUUUUCACAAGAGUUUCCCAAGGCUAUCCUAAAACACAGG